rnacentral:rRNA from 2 species
CGUUUGAGAUUUGAGAGGGGCUGCUCCUAGUACGAGAGGACCGGAGUGGACGAACCUCUGGUGUUCCGGUUGUCACGCCAGUGGCAUUGCCGGGUAGCUAUGUUCGGAAAAGAUAACCGCUGAAAGCAUCUAAGCGGGAAACUUGCCUCAAGAUGAGAUCUCACUGGGAACUUGAUUCCCCUGAAGGGCCGUCGAAGACUACGACGUUGAUAGGCUGGGUGUGUAAGCGUUGUGAGGCGUUGAGCUAACCAGUACUAAUUGCCCGUGAGGCUUGACCAU